UAAAAAUGAAAUAUAUAUACAAAGGAAUAUAUAAAAUGGAAUAUAUUAUACAAAGGAUAUAUCAAGAAACAUAAUGCAUACUAAUUAUAAACUGUUUAACAUCGAAUAUAACUAUUAUAAUCAAUUGCGUGCGCUAUGCUUUAGAAAUAAAAUCUGGAACAUUAUUCUCUGAGAAUGCAAAUGUAUUUACAUACAAUAAAAUGAACAAUUACCUGUGAUCGAUGAGUCUGGAAUAUCUGGGAAAUCCGAUGUACCCGGCUGAUGAGUGAAAUAUACAGUAAGAAUCACUAUGGCAGCUAUUGUUAUAGUUAGAAGGCAUGAAAGGAAAAACUAAAAUGGAUCUGAGUUAUCUAUUGUACAGCAUCGAUUAUUACCUUUAUUUGACUCGGUAUUUUG